AAAGAAUUAGUUAAAUAUAAAUAUAAAUAUAACAUUAAAUUGUCAAUUUAAAAUUAUUAAAAAUAAUACUCUUU
rnacentral:tRNA from 1 species